rnacentral:tRNA from 1 species
AUUAUCUUGGCAGAUUAGUGCAAUAAAUUUAGAAUUUAUUUAUGUGACAUAUAUAUCACAGAUAAUA